rnacentral:snRNA from 1 species
UUGCUUCAGCAGCACAUACACUAAAAUUGGAAUUAUACAGAGAAGAUUAGCAUGGCCCCUGCGCAAGGAUGACACGCAAAUCCAUGAAGCGUUCCAUAUUUUU